CCGGUUCAAGAUAUUAGACUCGCGCCUGCCCAGUGACACAUGUUUAGCGGCCGCGGCACCCUAACCGUGCAAAGGUAUCACAAUCACUUGUUCCUUAAAUAGGGACCUGUAUGAAUGGCUCCACGAGGGUUCAGCUGUCUCUUACUUUUAACCAGUGAAAUUGACCUGCCCGAGAAGAGGCGGGCAUGACACAGCAAAACAAAACGAACCUAUGGAGACC
rnacentral:rRNA from 1 species